rnacentral:antisense_RNA from 1 species
UUGGCGGUGAACUCCCAGAUGUCGUCGGCGCGCAGCAGGGACCGGUCGCCGAAGUAGUCGCCGUCGGCCAGGCCGCCGAGCACCACCGGGUCGCCGUAGGCGCCGCUGCCGACCUUCUCCACCUUGCCGUGCGCGAUCAGGUACACGUGGUCGACGGCGUGGCCGAACUCCACGAUCACCUCGCCCGCGGCGAACUCGCGCUGCACGAACCGAUCGGCCAGCGAGGAGAGCACGGCGUCGUCGUCGAACCCGCGCAGCACCGGCAGCUCGCACAGCUCCUGCGGGACCACCCGGACGUCGGCACCGGUGUUGGUGAAGGUGACCCGGCCGUCGCCGAUGGCGUAGCUCAGCCGCCGGUUGACCCGGUACGCGCCGCCCUUGGCCUCGAUCCACGGCAGCAUCUUGAGCAGCCAGCGCGGCGAGAUGCCCUGCAUCUGCGGCACGGACUUGGUGGUGGUGGCCAGUUUCCUGGCCGCCGCGGUGCCGAGGCUGAGCUGACCGGCAUCGG